AUUGAACGCUGGCGGCAUGCCUUACACAUGCAAGUCGAACGGCAGCGGACCUUCGGGUGCCGGCGAGUGGCGAACGGGUGAGUAAUGCAUCGGAACGUGCCAUUGAGUGGGGGAUAACGUAGCGAAAGUUACGCUAAUACCGCAUAUUCUGUGAGCAGGAAAGCAGGGGACCGCAAGGCCUUGCGCUCUUUGAGCGGCCGAUGUCAGAUUAGCUAGUUGGUGAGGUAAAGGCUUACCAAGGCGACGAUCUGUAGCGGGUCUGAGAGGAUGAUCCGCCACACUGGAACUGAGACACGGUCCAGACUCCUACGGGAGGCAGCAGUGGGGGAAUUUUGGACAAUGGGCGCAAGCCUGAUCCAGCCAUGCCGCGUGAGUGAAGAAGGCCU
rnacentral:rRNA from 1 species